rnacentral:rRNA from 1 species
CCGGCGACCGGCGCACGGGUGAGUAACACGUAUGCAACCUGGCCGUCACAGGUGGAUAACCGGAAGAAAUUCCGACUAAUACAGCAUAACACUCCUGAGGGACAUCCCUUGGGAGUCAAAGGAGGCAACUCCGGUGACGGAUGGGCAUGCGGCGCAUUAGGUAGUUGGUAGGGUAACGGCCUACCAAGCCGACGAUGCGUAGGGGUUCUGAGAGGAAGGUCCCCCACACUGGUACUGAGACACGGCCCAAACUCCUACGGGAGGCAGCAG